GAUGAACGCUGGCGGCGUGCCUAAUACAUGCAAGUCGAGCGAACGGACGAGAAGCUUGCUUCUCUGAUGUUAGCGGCGGACGGGUGAGUAACACGUGUAUAACCUACCUAUAAGACUGGGAUAACUUCGGGAAACCGGAGCUAAUACCGGAUAAUAUUUUGAACCGCAUGGUUCAAAAGUGAAAGACGGUCUUGCUGUCACUUAUAGAUGGAUCCGCGCUGCAUUAGCUAGUUGGUAAGGUAACGGCUUACCAAGGCAACGAUGCAUAGCCGACCUGAGAGGGGGAUCGGCCACACUGGAACUGAGACACGGUCCAGACUCCUACGGGAGGCAGCAGUAGGGAAUCUUCCGCAAUGGGCGAAAGCCUGACGGAGCAACGCCGCGUGAGUGAUGAAGGUCUUCGGAUCGUAAAACUCUGUUAUUAGGGAAGAACAUAUGUGUAAGUAACUGUGCACAUCUUGACGGUACCAAAUCAGAAAGCCACGGCUAACUACGU
rnacentral:rRNA from 1 species